AUGCACGCUGGCGGCGUGCCUAAUCCAUGCAAGUCGAGCGAACAGACGAGGAGCUUGCUCCUCUGACGUUAGCGGCGGACGGGUGAGUAACACGUGGAUAACCUACCUAUAAGACUGGGAUAACUUCGGGAAACCGGAGCUAAUACCGGAUAAUAUAUUGAACCGCAUGGUUCAAUAGUGAAAGACGGUUUUGCUGUCACUUAUAGAUGGAUCCGCGCCGCAUUAGCUAGUUGGUAAGGUAACGGCUUACCAAGGCAACGAUGCGUAGCCGACCUGAGAGGGUGAUCGGCCACACUGGAACUGAGACACGGUCCAGACUCCUACGGGAGGCAGCAGUAGGGAAUCUUCCGCAAUGGGCGAAAGCCUGACGGAGCAGCGCCGCGUGAGUGAUGAAGGUCUUCGGAUCGUAAAACUCUGUUAUUAGGGAAGAACAAAUGUGUAAGUAACUAUGCACGUCUUGACGGUACCUAAUCAGAAAGCCACGGCUAACUACGUG
rnacentral:rRNA from 1 species